GCAAACUUGGUCAUUUAGAGGAAGUAAAAGUCGUAACAAGGUUUCCGUAGGUGAACCUGCGGAAGGAUCAUUAUUGAAUAACUUGGUACUCGAUGCUGGCCUUUCGAGGCAUGUGCUCGUGCCAUCUUAUUUAUCUUCUCUUGUGCACCUCUUGUAGUCUUUGAAUCACUGAAGUGGGUCUUAUGCGCUAUAAAAUGCGGUUUGGGGGCUUGAACGGUUCAUUCCUUUCUGCUCCUGUUCUACUUCGGUUUUUUGAAGGCUAUGUUUCAUAUACCCUAUUAAAAGUUACAGAAUGUCAUCUUUAUUGGCUUGACCGCCUUUAAAACCUAUACAACUUUCAGCAACGGAUCUCUUGGCUCUCCCAUCGAUGAAGAACGCAGC
rnacentral:misc_RNA from 1 species